CGCACAGGUGGCUGCAGUACCGGGAGCCAAGGUGGAGUCUUUGGAAAUGGGAACGCGAGGCCUCUGCUCCGCUCCUCCCUCUAGACCUGUUGCUGUGCCUUAGGGAAGCGCUGCCUCUGCCUCAGGGAAAGAUGUGCCGGCCGCUCGGCUGCCCUGGUGUGCAGCUGGUUGCGUUUAGCUCAGCUUCAGCGGGUUGUGGCAGGGCAGGCUAACCCCCUCCUCGCCGCGCCUCCAGCCCCAGGUGACUUUGCAGGCUGCGGGGGACAAUGCAGGCUUCCCUCUCCUACUCACUCUGCGCUUCCUGGUGAAGAUGUGCGACAGAUGUGCUCCUACCUGGGAAGAUCACUUGGAAGACCACUCUGCAGUGGUCUUCUGGAGCAUCAUCAUUCAAGCCCUUUACCUAACUGAGCUGUGAGGUCAUCGAGGCAUGGCCAAAGCAAAACUCGGUGGAACAAACUCUGUCCAAGACAUAGACCAAAAACUCCUGUAGCACAGAAACAAGGGAUCGGAAGACUUGCCUGAAACAUUUUGGUCAUUGAUUGUGACUGUGUUAAAUCUAGGGAACCUAAGGGCCUGUUUAAAAACUCUUUUGGAGUUCCUGAUCUGGGUUGGCAGCCGAAGCCACAUCCUGACUGCAAAGCAGGGUGAGGCUCAGUGAUGCAACCGCAUUUGCCCAUAGUUUCUUCUGCAUGACAAGAAACUCUAGGAACGUGUUCCAGGCAGAAGCUGUGGCACACAGGACAGAUGGGCAGUCAAGCUGCAGGAAUGAGUGUGAAAAGUCCAAGCCAGUGCACAGAGGCUAGUCUAAAGUGAGAAGAAUGAAAUGUCUGUCCUGCAGAGAACAUUAAUGUGUGUCGACAACAUGCUCUAAAUUAAAUAUUGUAUUCCUUUAAAAAACUGAGAGGACUCCAGUUUGGAGAUUUGGAACAAAAUGAGCCAGGACAUUUGCUCUGUUUUGUGCCCAGUAUGUACCUGAGCUGGGGCACAUAUGGAAUUCUGCUAAAAUGAGAUUAUAAAUUAAUAGUCUUUCACACUUCAUUGCUUGAAUGAGCCAGAAGUUAUUUUCUUCUGAGUUGGAGUCCCAGGUGCAGCUCUUUCCAGCUACCAAAUAUGAUUUUCUGAAAGGGAAGAAAGACCAGUGAAUUGAAACUACAACGACCUCUUCUCUGUGGUCUCAGUACAGCCAUGUAAUAAAGAAAAGGAAAGCACAUCAACUGACAGGGUGAAAGAAGAAGAUUCUGUCCAUAUAUACAAUGAUGGUGAUGAACCAGUUUGGGCUACAGCUUCCAUUUCUGGUUCUCCUUCUGGCUUUGUGCACAAACUUCAGCUGGUCUGUGAUUUAAAAAGAUGACUUGUUUCUUUGAUUUUUUUUUUUGGUACCAACUUGAGAUGCUGUGCAACUCCUAUUACUAUUUAGGCUGGUCUAGAGUCAUACUAACAAAGAUAAAUAUUUCUACUUUCACUAAAACUUAAUGAGGUGAAGCUAUUGCAGACCUGGCUCUC